CAGGCACCAUUUUUCCUCCGCCCUCCCCUCUCUUCCCAGGGUGGAAGAAACAAAUUAUAAAAUUAUCUGGCAUGGAGGAGCCAUGGAUUAUUGAGGUAUUGGGGAGAUUCAUUUUGGGGACUGGAAAAUUUCUCUGCCCCUGGUGAAGUAUGGGUACCUGGGAAGAAGCAGUGUGAGUCAGCUUCAGGCUCAGCCGCUGACCUUGGUGGCUCACACUGUGCUGGUCCACAUGAACUCAAUUCAGCCCGCACAGCUCACGUGACAGCUGGAUUUCAGGUCACACAGUCCAACUCACCCAAGGAGGGAACUGAGGCUGGGGUGAAGCCUACUCAGGAAUCAGGCCCAUGGUUGGCUGGACCCACCUCCAGGCUGCCAGGGUGUGGACAGCAGGACGGCUGAAGAACAGCAGGAGAGAGGAACCAUUUGCUAAAGAUGUUCAGAUGGACGGGAGGACAGAAUAACAGCACAGAGACAGAGCCUCACUCCAUCUUUGGAGAAAUAGACAUGAGGGUUCAGCCCUUCCUGCUGUCACUUCGAAACUCAGAGGAAGACAUCUGUUUUGACCACCUAAUGGCUUGGCAACUGACAGAUACUGGGGAGCACAGGAAUAUUCCCUGAGCACAGGAUUCUGUUUCAAG
rnacentral:lncRNA from 1 species